UGACCUCAGCUCAAGCAAGAAAACGCGCUGAACUUAAGCGUAUCAAUAAGCGGAGGAAAAGAAACUAACAAGGAUUCCCCUAGUAACGGCGAGUGAAGAGGGAAAAGCUCAAAUUUUAAUCUACCUGGUUCCCAGGUCGAAUUGUAAUUUGAAGAAGCGAUAUCUGUGUUGAGGUCUGGUUCAAGUUCUUUGGAACAAGACAUCAUGGAGGGUGAGAAUCCCGUGCAUGAUCAGACCAAGAUACUUAAUAUUCGUUUUCUAAGAGUCGAGUUGUUUGGGAAUGCAGCUCAAAUUGGGUGGUAGACUUCACCUAANGCUNAAUAUCAGCGAGAGACCGAUAGCGAACAAGUACUGUGAAGGAAAGAUGAAAAGCACUUUGAAAAGAGAGUUAAAUAGUACGUGAAAUUGUUGAAAGGGAAACGAUUGAAGUCAGUCAUGCUAGUGAAAAUUCAGUUUGGCGGGUUUUAGGUUUGGGAGUAAGAGACAGGGUCAAACCAUCUCUCUUUUAAACUUGGGAUUUGUCGGACGCACUUUUUCUUUGGCAGGUCAGCGUCGAUUUCGGGGGUUGUAAAAUACUUGGGGAAAAGUAGCUCUGCUUCGGGAGAGUGUUAUAGACCUUGGGAGAUGCAGCCUGCGGGAUCGAGGAUUGCAGCAAAUGCCAUUGGCUUGUCGCCUGAUCUUUGAUUGUUACCUUGUUUAUGACAACAUUCUUGUCAUCGAUGAGUACUAAUGGUUAUGGGUUAGAACGAUCAAAAAUUUGCUAAGGAUGCUGACGUAAUGGCUUUAAACGACCCGUCUUGAAACACGGACCAAGGAGUCUAACAUAUG
rnacentral:rRNA from 1 species